rnacentral:tRNA from 1 species
GGUAAGGUAAGCUAAAGGAUUAAGCUGUUGGGUUCAUACCCCGAAAAUAAAUAAUAAAUAUUUCUUUACUA